GCCUGAGCUUGUCGAUCAAGACUCUGGCCACCAACCGCCGUCGAAGCAAAAGGUCUCCAAGGAAUGCCAGGGAGACACGAAGUGAACUUAGUGUUGAGAGACGGAAGCUGGAUGGCCCUUGGGGGCUGACCCGCAGGGUGCUGGACUUCAGGAUGUAGCAGAGAGAGCUUGGCAUGACUUAUUACUCCAGGCUGUAGAAUCCUGGAAAAGAGCUACCAUGCAGCCUACGCCUGGUCGACUGGAGGACCACCUUAGCGGAAGGGGGACAAUCUGGGCCUCUGGCCUGCCAUGUGCACAAGCAUAACAAUUGCUUUUGUUUAAUGUGCAGAUGAAAUAUUUGAUUCAUUUUAACCAG